rnacentral:lncRNA from 1 species
CUUAUUCAAACCACCGUGGGGUUGGGGCGGUCUGAAGAGCCUCUGUAUUCGUUGUUAUUUACAACUGGAUUUGCCUAUGCAUUUUCUUUCCAAUUGGUCCUCCUUUUAGUGACAAAGAGCAAACAAUAGGACUCAUCAACUUGGGCAAGAGAAGGAAGGGAGACAGGAAGAGCAAAUGCUACCAGCAUCAGGCACCUGUGCUGAGAUAACAAAAGGUCCGACGCGUCCCAGAAGGAGACAAAAAAGUAGUGUUGAAAGAAUAUUGGCAGAAACAUUGGCAGAACAUUCGGAAAUGUGGCUAAAUACAGAAACCAACAGAUUGAACAAGCUUCACAAACCCCAACCAGAAUAAAUCUUGCAAUUACCCUAGAUCUUCCUGGAUAAUCCGAGAUAAAGUCCCCGUGAUGGCUAAUCUCAGUUGUCAACUUGAUACAUUGGGAGGAAGGAGCCUUGAGUGAAGAACUAUGCUCUCAGAUUGGCCCCUGGACACAUCUGUGGGGGCAUUUCCUUUAUUGUUAAUCAGCAUGGCUGAGUCCAGCCCACUGAGCCGGGUGGAUGGGCUUGGGCUACAUAGGGAAGGCAGCCGGCCAGUGCAGUGCUGUUCUGUGUUUGCUGCUUCAGGCUGCUGCCCUCACUUCCUGCCUUGGCCUCUCUCGAUGAUGGAUUGUAACUAUUCAGAUGAAAUAAACCCUUUCUCCUU